rnacentral:rRNA from 1 species
AUCUACGGCCAUGCCACCCUGGGCAGGCCCAAUCUUGUCUGAUCUCAGAAGCUAAGCAGGGGCGGGCCUGGUUAGUACUUGGAUGGGAGACCACCUCAGAAUACCAGGUGCUGCAGACG